GACACGCAGUCAGCACCCAGCGACUAUCUAUGGAAUUAGUGAACCGAGGAAUGAAGUCUCCUGCUCCAGUGCUCCAGAGUUUCACAUGUGGCCUUGUUUCCUCACCAUCCUGGCUGCUCUGGCUUACAGAACUUGGGUGGCAGACUCACUGCCAGUGGUGGGGAGCAGCCCCUGUGCCGCACGUGUCCAGCCUCAAGGUCCCAGAGCAAGCAGUUCAUGCUCCAAGCCACCUUCUAGAGAGAUGGGAGAAAGAACAGGGAAGCUAGAGAGCUUCUACCACCAUCUGAGUCCCUGUAGAUGGAGAGAGUAGCUGGAGAGGCAGGAGUGCAAGGGGCUCUGCAGCUCUGGAGACAUGGGACAGGCCACUUGCCUCUCAGAGGUGCUGUGGCAGAGUGUACCCCCUUGGUCUUCUCAGCAGUUUGCCUUAUGUCUAAAGCUUCCUGGGCCCUCAGUACAGGGUGCUAGUUUUGUCUAGGGGGCAGCCAACCCCCUACCAAUGAGGUUAGAAUUGGUUGGUAUGCACCCCAUUCCUCAGCGGGUCAAUCUGAGACAUGUCCUUCUCAGCCUUGCAGACGGCCCUGAGGGGGAGUGAAAUGUGAAAAUGACCUAUUUACGAAUACAUCCUUUAUUUGCCUGUCAUUGUUCACUGUCUUGACACCGGUGUUCUCCCAGUGCCUCCACGGUGUUCUCCCAGUGCCUCCACGGCCUCCUGCCUCCUGUGUUCCUGGCUGCCUAGCCCUCACCCUGAGCCUGGGAAGAAGUCAGGACCUUUCACUUGCCACCCUGGAUUAUGCAGUGACCUUUUGUCCCCAGGAUUCAGCAUUUUGCCUGACAGGAGGACCAAGAACUGAGGAAAAAAAGUAAAUAGCUUUGGGCUGGCUUCAGAAGGAGUGGCAGGGAGCUCCCUUCAGCCUCCUGUGAAAUGGGCAAAAGCAAGCAGCUGAGAUGGGCGAGGGAGGAGGAGAGUGGCUGCACUUCACGAUCCAGUCAAAACCAGCCACGGCACCCAGACAAGGUGCUCUGCAGUUUUCAAAGUGCAUCACAUCCAUUAUCUUCUGUGACCCACAGACAGGUCGGCAAAGCCUGCUGGUGUGAGGUCACCGAGCCCCGUGCAGGCUGCCCCUCACAUGCCUCUUGCAUCCACUUCUUCCUCUCCAUCGCAUGCCACUGCCCUUGUCAUCUCUCACGGGGCUGUCGCAAUAGCUCCCUGCCUGUCUCCCUGCUCCCAGCCUGUGCCCUCUGUUCCCUCUUGCUGCCUGAGUGAUCUUUCUGCACUGCAAAUUUGUUCAUCCUACAGUAGGCUUAACAGCCUCCAAUGGCCCCCAGCAGGUACAGAAUAAAGGCCCAACUCCUU
rnacentral:lncRNA from 1 species